rnacentral:rRNA from 1 species
AUUGAACGCUGGCGGCAGGCCUAACACAUGCAAGUCGAGCGAGCGUCGGACGGGGGGGAAAUGUAUGUGGACUGUCCGUUAGAGGGGGAUAACUACUGGAAACGGUAUCUAAUACCGCAUACUAUCGGAUAACCCAUAUGGGAUUAGCUAGUAGGUGGGGUAAUGGCUCACCUAGGCGACGCUCCCUAGCUGUGCUGAGAGGAUGAACAGCCACACUGGAACUGAGACACGGCCCAGACUCCUACGGAGGCAGCAGUGGGGAAUAUUGCACAAUGGGCGCAAGCCUGAUGCAGCCAUGCCGCGUGUAUGAAGAAGGCCUUAGGGUUGUAAAGUACUUUCAGUGGGGAGGCGUUACCGACAGAAGAAGCACCGGCUAACUCCGUGCCAGCCGCCGCGGUAAUUC